CACCCAAGUACUGAGCGGGAACGCAGGGCUGGGGCAGACUCAGCCCCCUGGACACAGGCAGGGGUUGGGGUGCACGGCAGAGCCGUGGGGGGAGAAGAGAAGUGGGGACGUGGACCCUCCAGAUGAAGACAGAGCUUUGCCUCGGGGCGUGCGGGGAGGUGAGGGAGGACAGGAAAUGCAGUGCCUGAGUGCAGGCGGUAGGGCAGGCGGGCUGGUACGUUCCGUUUCACGGCGCCCCUCCCAGAGGCCAUUUCUCCAUUUCUCAGCGGGAUAAAGUGGUGCGCAGGGCUGAGUGGUGGGAGCCUCUGCACCUCCGACUUCACUUGAGCCCGGGGCCCUGGACUGACCAAACGUGGGUCCCCGAACUGUUGUCGGGGAUACUGAGGUUACUUUGUGGAGGGGGUGGGGUCCCCAGGCUCUCAUCCAAUCUCGGUGGCCGCUCUCGCUAUUUGCACACAUUAUGCUCCUAUUUUGGGCUGCGCUGCAGACCUGGUGAAAGUGAUUAUGGUAAUAAGCCGGUCUCCAGCAAGGGGCGCUCCCUCCGCAGCCAGAGCGGCUGGGCGGGCGGAGUCCAACCGGUGCUCGCACUCACACGUGGCCAGUCCGAAGGCUAUUUAAGGCUUGCAGGCACGGGGCCGCGGAGAAGCUUCAGAUAGCUGCGGCUCGGCCUUUUCGAUCUUGUGGUCCCCUGGUGCCGCGCUCUCCUGGUCUGUUGGCCUGCCUGCCUCCAGAGGAGUCCAGGUGGGAAGCAAGCCGGCGUGCAGGAAGACAACGAAUCAACGUGGAAAAAAGGCCAAGUGGCGAGGAUGCAACAGGUCCGCGCUCCGCGGCGGGGCGAGCGGCAGACCCUCACCGGCUGUCCCUCGGACCCCGAGCUGCCGCUCCCGGGGACCUCGGAGGAGGGGCCCGGUGGAUUUCCUUUCGGCUUUCACGCUGUGGCCACCCAGUCCCCCGACGCAGGGUGCUUUUCACGCCUUUCUGGGAUGGGGAAGGAAGGUGGAGGAUGCUCCUCGCCCGUCCCUUUGGACUCUAAGGCACGCCCAGGUCCCUCUUCGCGCCUGCCUCCGCGCCGCCAGUUAGUUGCGAGGCCACCUAUACUGAACUGUGGAGGACUCGGCCCGUGUUUUCCUUUUGCGAUGAUUGGAGGAAGUCGAGGGGGGAAGGUGAAACCGAGGCAGCCGGCCCCGCACAAUGAGGGAAAGAAGCACACACUGAAGGAGGAGGCCAGGAGCCUCUCCGGGCAGCGCUGCGCUGGGCCGGUACCCCAGUGCAGGUCCCUGGCGGCCCUCCAGUCAGUGGUGGCCGUCCUGCCUUGUCUGCACCUCGGGUGCAAACUAAGAACUUCCAGGCUCGCAUCGCUGCACCGGAAUCCGCCAAAGGGACCAGGAUUAGUUCAAGAAAGGUGCCAUAGAAAGUGGAGCGCCUUCUGGCUCAGAUGUCAGAGGCAGAGGUUUUUUGAACAAAUCCUACGGACAUAUGGCUAAAGGAAUUGCGAGAAAAGCACCUUCAGAAUGCAACUGCCCAGCAGCUCUCUGCUAUGGCCUGGGAAAGCCUUGAUCACUUGGACUAGUGAGAUGGCAUUGGAUGUACCUUGGACCCCUGCACCCACGUGGGAAGAUCUGGAAGAAGCUCUUGGCUUCAAAUUGGUGCAGCUCUGGGCAUUUCAGCCAAUUAGUGAGUGAAGCAGUAGAUUGAAGACCUCCCUCUCUCUCUCCCUCUCCCUCUCCCUCUCCCUUGUGUAACUCUUUCAAAUAAAUAAAUCUUUUAAAAAAUUGAAAAAUAUGAUGCCAAAGUGUCCUGUCCUCCUUUAAUAGGUAAGGUUUCUUUUUUUUAAAAAAUUUAUUUGAAAGGCAGAUUUACAGAGUGGCAGAAAGUGAGACCUAGAGGAGAGGACUUCCAUAUGUCGGUUCACUCCCCAAAUUGCUGCAAUGGCCAGAACUGCGCUAAUAUGAAGUUAGUUUUACUUGUUGAAUAUUAUGGUUCAUGGUGCAUUAAGAUAAUAGAGUGGAUUGAAAUUAUAUUUUUUCAAAAGCUUGAAGGUGAGGGAUUGAGGGAGAGAGAGAUGGAGGGGUAAUAUGGUUAUCAUCUUAGAGCUGAAUUUAAUACAUGAAAUUUGUUCUCUUACAUGAAAAUAUCUUCAAAAGAAAUAUUUGAAAUCUAACAUGAAAACUAAUUGCAGAACCAAAGUAGCAGUUUGCAUAAUCCAAGAAAAUCAUACAUAGAUUUUUCAUAUUGCACUUUCAAUGAACAAUUUAAAGACCCUGAUACACAGAUGCAUAUAAACAAUGUGAUAUACAAUACAUAUUAUACAUACAUAUAUGCAUACAGCUGUAUAUGUGUACAAAUAUACCUCAUGUAAAUAUCAAUAUGUCUUGUAUCAAGAGAUAUAAUGGGAUUGAGACUUUUUGUGGUAAUUUGCAUUUUUAUUAAAUACUAUAUCAUUGUCACUGUUAAAGCAAGUGGUAGGAUAACUUUUAAUGAAUUUGACACAAACUUUGUUGUGCUAAUGAACCGGGACUGUGAAAAAAACCUGAGGUGUGGGGGAGGAAUAAUGCCGUGGCUGGGACUUUGAGCAGUCUCAGUGAUACACACCAAAAGCUCAGGGGUUCCUGGUUAACUGGUGAGAAACACUGCUGUGGAAUCUGAACUUACACUGCACAGAUCCUUUAGUGGUCCUUGGGACAGAGAAGAAGAUUUUAUACCCACUGGAGCUCAUGCUCAGGCACUGGUUUCCAUUGAGAAGAGCUCAGCUGAGCAGAAUAUACUUCCCUUCUGAUUAAAGGAAAAAGAGAUUUACCAGACCAAACCUGAGUGUGUCACCUUAGGCAAACCCUUAACCCUGGAAAAAUGAACAGAGAUCUCUGGCCACAACUACUAGAAGCCUCUAGAGAUUCACUGAAAACAGACAUUCCACUUAUCUAUGAUAAAAGUUGCCACAGUGGGGAAAAAGAAGAAGAAGAAGAAACCAAUAGGUAUCUCCACAAAUGCUGAACAAAUGCAACAAUCCAAGAAAUGAGAAUAAGGAAGACAACAUGAUGCUCCCAAAAGAACAUGACAAUUCAAUACUAGAUUAUGAAGAUGAAGAGAUAGAAGAAAUGCAAGAAAUUCAAGGAACUCAAAAAACAGAUCCCAAGAUUACAUAAAAGUAAUCAAAAGUGAAUGCAAGAACUACUGAAAUCCAUGUAGGACAUGAAAGAAAAUCUGUACCAUGAAAUUCAGAACCUAAAGAGGAAUCAAAAUGAAAUGAAGAAUUCGAUAGAACAAAUUAAAAUGCAGAGACAGAAGAGAGAAUAUCGGUCUUAGAAGACAAAUCACAGGAAAGUAUACAGUGAAAUCAAAGGCAAGAAGAAGAAAUUAGAAAACUGAAAACGACUGUUGGAAAUCUAGAGGAUAAUAUAUAUAUAUAUAUAAAAAAACAAUGUUCGGGUUCUAGGAGUUCCUGAAGGCAUGGAGAGAGAGAAAGGAUCAGAGUGCCUAUUUUGUGAAAAACUAGUAGGAAACUUCCUGGGUUUGGAGAAAGAUAGGAGUGUCCAAGUACAGGAAGCACACAGAGCUGCCAAUAGACAUGACCAGAAAAGAUCCUUGCCAUGACACAUUGUAAUCAAACUCACCACAGAGAAGCAUAAAGAGAAGAUACUAAAAUGUGCAAGAGAGAAAUGCCAGAUUACUUUCAGAGGAUCUCCAAUUGGACUCACAGCAGACUUCUCAACAGAAACCAUGCAGAGUAGGAGGGAAUGGUGAGAUAUAGCCCAAGUACUAAGAGAAAAAAACUCAUCCCUUAAUAUUAUACCCUGCAAAGCUCUCAUUUGUGAAUGAAGGUGAAAUAAAGACCUUUCAUAGCAAACAGAAAUGGAAAGAAUUUGUCACCACUCGUCCAGCCCUGCAAAAGAUACUUAAAGAUUUGUUACACACAGAAACACAGAAACACGGUCAUCAAUAUGAAAGAAAGUAAAGGGAGAAAAUCUCUCAGUAAAAGAUCACAGAAAGUUCAAAAUAUAAAUUAGGAAUAUCUUUGGAAAGAUGGCAGGGCAAAAUGAUUACUUAUCAAUAGUUACAUUGAAUGUAAAUGGCCUCAACUCUCCAGUUAAAAGGCAGACUGGCUGAAUGGAUAAAAAAAAACCUAUCUAUUUGCUGCCUACAAGAAACACAUCUCACCAACAAAGAUGCACACAGACUGAAAGUGAAAGGAUGGAAAGAAAAGGUCAACAGAAACCAAAAAAGAGCUGGCUUAGCCAUCUUAAUGUCAGACAAAGUAGACCUUAACACAAAAACUGUUAAAAGAGACAAAGAAGGGCACUAUGGUAUGAACAAGAUCAAUUCAAAAGGAGGAUGUAUCAAUUAUCAAUGUAUAUGCAUUUAAUUACAGGGCACCUGGCUAUUUAAAAGAAAUGUUAAGGAACUUAAAGGGAGACUUAGACUCCAAUACAGUAGUAUUGGGCAACUUCAAUACUCCACUUUCAUCAGUGGACAAAUCAACCCAGCAGGAAAUCAAAAAGGGAACAGCAGAUUAAAUCAACAUUAUAUUCCAAAUGGAUCUAACAAAUAUCUACAGAACUUGUCAUCCUACAAUUGCAGAAUACACAUUCUUCUCUGCAGUGCAUGGAACUUUCUCUAGGAUUGACCACAUACUAGGCCAUAAAGCAAGUCUCAGUGGAUUCAAAGAAAUCAAAAUCAUGGCCGGCACCAUGGCUCACUUGGCUAAUCCUCUGCCUGUGGCACCAGCACCCCAGGUUCUAGUCCUGGCUGGGGCGCUGGAUUCUGUCCUGGUUGCUCCUCUUCCAGGCCAGCUCUCUGCUGUGGCCCAGGAAGGUAGUGGAGGAUGGCCCAAGUGCUUGGGCCCUGCACUGCAUGGGAGACCAGGAGGAAGCACCUGGCUCCUGGCUUUGGAUCAGUGCAGUGCACCGGCCAUAGUGGCCAUUUGGGGGUGAACCAACGGAAGGAAGACUUUUCUCUCUGUCUGUCUCUCUCUCUCACUAACUCUACCUGUCCAAAAAAAAAGAAAAGAAAAGAAAUCAAAAUCAUACCAUGCAUAUUCUCAAACCACAAUGGAAUGAAGCCAGAAAUCAGUAACUCAGGAUUCUCUAGAGCAUAUGCAAAUACAUGGAAACUGAACAACAUGCUCCUGAAUGAACAUUGGGUCAUAGAAGAAAUCAAAAGAGAAAUCAAAAAAUUUCUGGAACCAAGUGAAGUUAAAACACAACAUAUGAAAACAUCAAAAGCAGCGGUAAGAGGAAAGUUUAUAGCAAUAGGUGCCUACAUCAAGAAAUUAGAAAAGUACCUAAUAAGGAGCUAUUAAUGCAUCUCAAGGAUCUAGAAAAACUAGAGCAAACCAAACCAAAAACUAAUAGGAGAAAAGAAAUAAUUAAAAUUGGAGAAUAAAUCAACAAAACUGAGUCCAAAAAAUUAUAAAAGAUCAGCAAAAGAAGAGCUGGUUUUUUGAAAAAAAAAUUGCCACAACUAAUGCAACUAAUGGCCGAACUAAUGAAAAAAGGAGAGAGGUGACCAAAAUCAAUAAAAUUAGAGAUGAAACAGGAAAUGUAACAUCAGACACUACAGAAAUCAAAAGAAUCAUCAGAAAUUACCAUAAAGAAUUGUAUGCCAGUAAACUGGGGAAUCUAGCAGAAAUGUAUAGAUUCCUGAACAUAUACAACCUACCUAAAUUGAGCCAUGAAGACAUAGAAAACCUAAACAGACCCAUAACCAGGACAGAAAUUCAAUCAUUAAUAAAGGCCUUCCCCAGAAAGAAAAGCCCAAGACUGAAUGGAUUCACUCCUGAAUUCUAUCAGGCUUUUAAAGAAGAAAAACUCUAAUUCUUCUCAAGCUAUUCAAAACAAGUGAAAGAGACAGAAUCCUCCCAAAUACUUUCUACAAAGCCAGCAUCACCUUAAUUCCUAAAUCUGAAAAAGGUGCAGCAGAGAAAAAGAAUUACAUACCAAUUUCCCUGAUGAACAUAGACACAAAAAUCAUCAACAAAAUCAUAGCUGGUAGAAUCCAACAACGCGUAAUAACAGAUCAUCCACUCAGACAAAGUGAGAUUUAUCCGUGUUAUGCAGGAGUGGUUCUACAUUCGGAAAUCAAUGUGAUACACCACAUCGACAGACUUCUGAACAAAAAUCAUAUGAUUAUCUCAAUAGGUUAUCUCAAUCAAUAGAUUAUCUCAAAGAAAGCAUUUGAUAAAAUACUACACACAUUAUAUGAUGAAAACUCAAAGCAAAUUGGGUAUAGGUAUGAAUAUAGGUAUGAACAUUCUUCAACACAGUCAAGGCAAUUUAUGACAAACCCAUGGCCAGCAUCAUAUUGAAUGGGGAAAAGUUGGAAGCAUUCCUACUCAUAUUUGGUACCAGCCAGAGAUGCCUACUCUCACCAAUGCUAUUCAAUAUGGUACUGGAAGUUUUAGCCAGAACCAUUAGGCAAGAAAAAAAAAUCAAAGGGAUAUAAAUUGAGAAGGCAGAAGUUAAACUAUCCUUAUUUGCAGACUACAUGAUUCUUUAUAUAGGGGAUCCAAAACUCCACUGAGAGACUAUUGGAUCUCAUAAAAGAGUUGGGUAAAGUAGCAGGAUAUAAAAUCAACACACAAACAGUUCGGCACAUGCUUACCCGGACUUACCCCUACUGGUAGAGCGAGAUACGUGCCAAGGGGUUCCAAUUCAGUCCCAUCAAGGUGGCACAUACCAAUGCUCUCUUACUUGUUAAAGUGAUCAGUUUACGUUCAUAAUUGAUCAUAAUGAAAGGAUUAAGUGUCAAAGGGAUUACAUAAAUAAGACCAGUGUCUGCAAAUAAUUGCUAGAAUUAAAAAGGAGAGAAUGAUCCUACAUGGGAAGCAGGAUACACAGCAGACUCAUAAAAUGGCAAAAGCUGUAAACAGCACUCUGGCCUCAGAAUCAGCCCUUAAGGCAUUCGGAUCUGGCUAAAAACCCAUGAGAGUUUUGCAGGCAUGGAAAGCCAAGACACUGUGGCAAAAAAAAAAAAAUAUGACCUAAAUGAAAGAUCUCUGUGAGUGAGAUCCCAGUGGAAAUAACGGGCCAUCAAAGAAGGAGGUACCUUUCUCUUAAGGGAUGAGAGAACUUCAGCUUUGAAUAUGGUCUUGUCUAAAUAAGAUCAGAGUUGGCGAACUCAAGAGGCUUCCAUAGCUUUGGCAGCUCAUGACAAGAGCCUCGAGUGAUUACUGACACCAUAAAUAAGAAUGUCAACUGUUAAAUCAACCAUGGGAAUCACUGUGCACCUGCACUCCAUAUAGGGCCUCUGCCCUUAAUGCGUUGUACUAUGAGAAUUAAUGGUAAAACCAAUAUUCAAACAGUAUUCUAUACUUUGUGUGUCUUUGUAGGUGCAGUCUGUUGAAAUGUUUUCUUAGUAUAUACUAAGUUGAUCUUCUGUAUAUAAAGAUAAUUGAAAAUGAAUCAUGAUGGGCAUGCCAGUGCGGGAAGGGGAGUGGAUGUGACACAGACACCAGAGGGGAGAGGAGGGUUGCCCAGGCCUCCAAGUACACACAUCGGCGCUGGAAGGGGAGGUGAGCUCAGUAACUGGAGACAUUGUCAGGGAAACGGCGGACAGAAUUUAGAGGGAAGCGGGUUUUGAAGCAGGCAAGUUCACCAGACUGACUAGGGAGAGAAGGAAAAAAAAAAAAGGUGGGGGGGUACUGGUACAGACAAGUUUCUCUCUCUGCCAACCUUGCAAAGGCGAGCAAGAGACAAAGAGCAAGCCCCACUUGGGAUAUACAUAAUAAAAGGGGAGAGCUAAGGCUAUAAUUCAGUAGCCUAGGCAACUCAGUGGGAGUCUGCAGGAGAAACGGAGCCUGCACAGACUCUUUGGGUGGAAGCCAGAGAUCAGAAGCUAAAUACCAUCAAUUCUGCUCAGCUGUGCUGAAUA